AACGAACGCUGGUGGUAUGCUUAACACGUGCAAGUCGAGCGGGCUUAGAGGGUCAACUCUUAAGUCAGCGGCAAACGGGUGAGGAAUAUAUAGGAAUCUCCCCAGCAGUAAGGAAUAACAUUGGGAAACCAAUGCUAAUGCCAUAUAUUACCGAUUUAUCGGGAAAGAUUUAUCGCUGUUGGAUGAGCCUUUAUCGGAUUAGCUAGUUGGUAGGGUAAUGGCCUACCAAGGCAAUGAUCCGUAGCUGGUCUGAGAGGAUGAUCAGCCACAUUGGGACUGCGACACGGCCCAAACUCCUACGGGAGGCAGCAGUGGGGAAUAUUGGACAAUGGGGGCAACCCUGAUCCAGCAAUACCACGUGAGUGAUGAAGGCCUUCGGGUUGUAAAACUCUUUUAGUAGGGAAGAUAAUGACGGUACCUACAGAAAAAGCACCGGCUAACUUCGUGCCAGCCGCCGCCGUAA
rnacentral:rRNA from 1 species